rnacentral:sRNA from 1 species
GUCGGAGCGGCCACCGGAGUCCUCAGGCGGCAGCCAGCGCAGCCGCAGCGCCAGCGGGGAACGGCUCAGGCUGUACUGCAGGGCUCUUCAUUCUUCAUCGGACUGACUACAGCUCAUUCUCUCUAUUGCUCAACUGCAAUCGUUCUUGCCAAGAUCACGUGACCACUAUCCAGCCCUCGACUUGCCUGAGUGCUCACCAUGCUCUUUUCUGGAUGCUCGUCUCCCUGGACCACCACGGUGCCCGGGAUACCUUCGCAGAUGUCACCACGUUCCUGGAAUCCUGCACUGCAGCUGCAACGGCCCACAGGCACCAGCCACUCGCCAUC